AUUGAACGCUGGCGGCAGGCUUAACACAUGCAAGUCGAGCGGGGUGAUGGUGCUUGCACUAUCACUUAGCGGCGGACGGGUGAGUAAUGCUUAGGAAUCUGCCUAUUAGUGGGGGACAACAUCUCGAAAGGGAUGCUAAUACCGCAUACGUCGUACGGGAGAAAGCAGGGGAUCACUUGUGACCUUGCGCUAAUAGAUGAGUCUAAGUCGGAUUAGCUAGUUGGUGGGGUAAAGGCCUACCAAGGCGACGAUCUGUAGCGGGUCUGAGAGGAUGAUCCGCCACACUGGGACUGAGACACGGCCCAGACUCCUACGGGAGGCAGCAGUGGGGAAUAUUGGACAAUGGGGGGAACCCUGAUCCAGCCAUGCCGCGUGUGUGAAGAAGGCCUUAUGGUUGUAAAGUACUUUAAGCGAGGAGGAGGCUCUUUUGGUUAAUACCCAAGAUGAGUGGACGUUACUCGCAGAAUAAGCACCGGCUAACUCUGUGCCAGCCGCCGCCGUAA
rnacentral:rRNA from 1 species